GCCCGGGUGGCUCGUUAGGACGAGCGCCGUUUUCGUAAAGCGGAUGAAGCCGGUUCGAAUCCGACCUCGGGCUCCA
rnacentral:tRNA from 1 species